rnacentral:lncRNA from 1 species
ACUUUGAGAACCAAUAGCACUCACCUUCAUUGCACAUUAGAAUCACCUUGUGGGGGCUCAUAAAAACACACAGGCUGUAACCCUGACCAAGUGCAUAAGAAUCCCUGGGGAUGAGACCAAGUUAUGCCAGCUUUUAAAAACUAGGACCAGGUGAUUCCACUGUGUGGCCAAACCAGAGAGGAAGUAACGUUGAAACUGGGGUAUCUAAAAGGAAAACGAGACGAAUGCAGUGAAGCUUCACUGAGAAGAUAAAAGAUGAGGACCAACCAGAGAAAGCCGAAUAUGCACCCUUAACCAAUCACAUAAGAUGUCGUGCUUCUAGUGACUCCACCUACAACUUCCCCGUGCCAAGAGCCUUCGAUCGGAGCACACCUGAAGUCUUCCCUUUUCUCCACUAUAAAGCUUUCCCACCCCUUUGCCUCCUUUGAGUCUCAGCCAAAACACAAGUGAUGGUGGCUGGCUCCCUUGUUAUAGUUCUGAGUAAAUAGUCUCUGUCUGUUCUCACUGGGUUGGUCUUCAUUUGUUUCCACAAGUGUCAACUGAACUCACUCAGGUGAGAAAUGAUGGAGACUUAGAUGGAGGUGGUAACAGGGAAGAUGGCAAGAGGUGAUCAGAUUCAGGAUAUACUUUAAAGGUAGAACCUUCAAAAUGUAAGAGGUAAGGGAAAGUGAGAAUCAAGUUUUAACUUGGAUAACUAGCUGGGCAGUGGUGCCAUGUACAAAGUCGAGGAAGGCUGGAGUACAUUCUCAAACUGGAGAAUCAAUGCCUUGGGUUCACCUACUCCCUGCAUACACAGCAACAUAAAUAACUCCAAAACUCUUCUCUAUCGAAGAGACCAUCUCCACCAGCCUGACACGUGGCCAAAGGUCAUUUCUUUGGGUGGGGGAACCUCCAGGGUGUUAGUUCACGGGUACCCAUAAGCUCCCACUGCCCACUCCCACUGCCCACUCCCACUGCCAUUUACUUCCCUCCCCCUCAAAAAUAAUCUUUGCAAUCUCCUGACUGAUAUGUGAAAUUUCACCCUCGGAACUGACUUCA